CAGAGCCAGAGCCGCUGUGGCUGCUUCCAGAAGGAUGGGAUCUGAAAGCCAGGAGGAGGAGGAGGGAAACAGGUCUAAGAGAAGAGGCCAGUGGCUAGAAAGUGAGCUGACACAUCUCAAGAAAAGCAUCCCAGGGGGCGUCCUGAUACACGCUCAGCCCAGGCAGCCGCCCUCCCCACCCUGGCGGUAGCCAGCAGGUUUCUCCUAACGCCCCAGACACAGGCUGGAUGCUGUACAUCGCCCACCGAAUCCUCGCCCGCCCUGCCUGGUCACAGUUGUUAUCUCCAGUUUACAGGCAUCCUGCUGUUCCCAUUCUCCCACUGAAUCCUGGCAGCAACAUUCAGAGGCACCAGGCAGACACGUUCCCUGCUCCUUAGCGGUCGGGCAGCUGUUACCAUCCCAUU